rnacentral:rRNA from 1 species
UACGGAGGGGGCUAGCGUUGUUCGGAAUUACUGGGCGUAAAGGGCGCGUAGGCGGACAGCUUAGUCAGAGGUGAAAGCCCAGGGCUCAACCUUGGAAUUGCCUUUGAUACUGGCUGUCUUGAGUUCGGGAGAGGUGAGUGGAAUGCCGAGUGUAGAGGUGAAAUUCGUAGAUAUUCGGCGGAACACCAGUGGCGAAGGCGACUCACUGGCCCGAUACUGACGCUGAGGCGCGAAAGCGUGGGGAGCAAACAGG